rnacentral:rRNA from 1 species
UACGAAGGGGGCUAGCGUUGUUCGGAAUUACUGGGCGUAAAGCGCGCGCAGGCGGUCUUCCAAGUCAGUGGUGAAAGCCUGGAGCUCAACUCCAGAACUGCCAUUGAAACUGUUAGACUUGAGUACGAGAGAGGUGAGUGGAAUUCCCAGUGUAGAGGUGAAAUUCGCAGAUAUUGGGAAGAACACCGGUGGCGAAGGCGGCUCUCUGGGCAUGUCCUGACGCUGAGGAGCGAAAGUGUGGGGAGCGAACAGG